AAUAUAUUUUAUUAUGGUAAUAAGAUUUAUUAAUUAUAUAUUUUAUAUGUAAAUUUUUGUAAGAGAAAUUAUAAUUUAAAAAAUAAGAUAAUUUAUUUGCAGUAAUUAGUAUUAUUUAUUUAAGAAAUUAUGAUUUAAUAAUUUAAUUUAAUAUAGGUUUAUUUUGUGCCAGCAAUCGCGGUUAUACAAAAUAUAUAAAUAAAUUAUAUUAAAAAAAGUUAAAUAUUUAUAUUAAUUUUAAAUUUUAAUUUAUAUUAUUAAGUGAAAUUUUAAUAUUAUAAAAAAUUUAAUAAAAUUUGGUGUUAAUCUUAUAAAUUUUGUAAUAAACUAGGAUUAGAUACCCUAUUAUUAAAAUAUAAAGUAUAUUUUUAGAUUAGUAUUAAAUAUAUUUAUGAAAUUAAAAUAAUUUGGCGGUAUUUUAGUCUAUUCAGAGGAAUUUGUUUUAUAAUUGAUAAUCCUCAUUAUAUUUUACUUAUUUUAUUUAAUUUGUAUAUCGUUGUCAUUAGAAUAUUUUAUAAGAAAAAAUAAUUUUCUUAAAUUAAUUUAAAAUUUUAUGUCAAAUCAAGGUGCAGUUUAUACUUAAGAAAAAAUGAAUUACAAUAAUAUUUAAUUAUAUGAAUUAAAAAUUGGAAUAGUUUUAUGAAGGUGGAUUUGAUAGUAAAUUUAAUAAGAAUGUUAAAUUGAUUAUAGCUCUAAAAUAUGUACAUAUCGCCCGUCGCUCUUAUUAUUAAAAUAAGAUAAGUCGUAACAAAGUAGAAUUAUUGGAAAAUGAUUCUAGAUAGA
rnacentral:ncRNA from 1 species